rnacentral:rRNA from 1 species
AUUGAACGCUGGCGGCAGGCCUAACACAUGCAAGUCGAGCGGAUGAGGAAAGCUUGCUUUUCGAUUCAGCGGCGGACGGGUGAGUAAUGCCUAGGAAUCUGCCUGUUAGUGGGGGAUAACUCGGGGAAACUCGGGCUAAUACCGCAUACGUCCUACGGGAGAAAGUGGGGGAUCUUCGGAACCCACGCUAACAGAUGAGCCUAGGUCGGAUUAGCUAGUAGGUGAGGUAAUGGCUCACCUAGGCGACGAUCCGUAACUGGUCUGAGAGGAUGAUCAGUCACACUGGAACUGAGACACGGCCCAGACUCCUACGGGCGGCAGCAGUGGGGAAUAUUGGACAAUGGGCGAAAGCCUGAUCCAGCCAUGCCGCGUGUGUGAAGAAGGUCUUCGGAUUGUAAAGCACUUUAAGUUGGGAGGAAGGGUAUUCACCUAAUACGUGGGUACUUUGACGUUACCAACAGAAUAAGCACCGGCUAACUCUGUGCCAGCCGCCGCGGUAAUAC